AACGAACGCUGGCGGCAUGCCUAACACAUGCAAGUCGAACGAGACCUUCGGGUCUAGUGGCGCACGGGUGCGUAACGCGUGGGAAUCUACCCUCAGGUUCGGAAUAACUCAGAGAAAUUUGAGCUAAUACCGGAAGAUGACGUAAAUCCAAAGAUUUAUCGCCUGAGGAUGAGCCCGCGUAGGAUUAGGUAGUUGGUGAGGUAAAGGCUCACCAAGCCGACGAUCCUUAGCUGGUCUGAGAGGAUGCUCAGCCACACUGGGACUGAGACACGGCCCAGACUCCUACGGGAGGCAGCAGUGGGGAAUAUUGGACAAUGGGCGAAAGCCUGAUCCAGCAAUGCCGCGUGAGUGAUGAAGGCCUUAGGGUUGUAAAGCACUUUUACCCGGGAUGAUAAUGACAGUACCGAGAGAAUAAGCUCCGGCUAAUUCCGUG
rnacentral:rRNA from 1 species